UACGAAGGGGGCUAGCGUUGUUCGGAAUCACUGGGCGUAAAGGGCGUGUAGGCGGGAAGGAAAGUCAGAUGUGAAAUCCCUGGGCUCAACCCAGGAACUGCAUUUGAAACUCCCUUUCUUGAGUGUCGGAGAGGAAAGUGGAAUUCCUGGUGUAGAGGUGAAAUUCGUAGAUAUCAGGAGGAACACCGGUGGCGAAGGCGGCUUUCUGGACGACAACUGACGCUGAGACGCGAAAGCGUGGGGAGCAAACAGG
rnacentral:rRNA from 1 species